UGGGGAAUUUUGGACAAUGGGCGAAAGCCUGAUCCAGCAAUGCCGCGUGUGUGAAGAAGGCCUUCGGGUUGUAAAGCACUUUUGUCCGGAAAGAAAUCCUUGGCUCUAAUACAGUCGGGGGAUGACGGUACCGGAAGAAUAAGCACCGGCUAACUACGUGCCAGCAGCCGCGGUAAUACGUAGGGUGCAAGCGUUAAUCGGAAUUACUGGGCGUAAAGCGUGCGCAGGCGGUUUGCUAAGACCGAUGUGAAAUCCCCGGGCUCAACCUGGGAACUGCAUUGGUGACUGGCAGGCUAGAGUAUGGCAGAGGGGGGUAGAAUUCCACGUGUAGCAGUGAAAUGCGUAGAGAUGUGGAGGAAUACCGAUGGCGAAGGCAGCCCCCUGGGCCAAUACUGACGCUCAUGCACGAAAGCGUGGGGAGCAAGCAGGAUUAGAUACCCUGGUAGUCCACGCCCUAAACGAUGUCAACUAGUUGUUGGGGAUUCAUUUCCUUAGUAACGUAGCUAACGCGUGAAGUUGACCGCCUGGGGAGUACGGUCGCAAGAUUAAAACUCAAAUGAAUUGAC
rnacentral:rRNA from 1 species